AGAGUUUGAUCAUGGCUCAGGAUGAACGCUAGCGGCAGGCUUAAUACGUGCAAGUCGAGGGGCAGCAUGAGUGUAGCAAUACAUUUGAUGGCGACCGGCAAACGGGUGCGGAACACGUACACAACCUUCCUAUAAGUGGGGAAUAGCCCAGAGAAAUUUGGAUUAAUACCCCGUAACAUAAUGAUGUGGCAUCACAUUAUUAUUAUAGCUACGGCGCUUAUUGAUGGGUGUGCGGCUGAUUAGAUAGUUGGCGGGGUAACGGCCCACCAAGUCUACGAUCAGUAGCUGAUGUGAGAGCAUGAUCAGCCACACGGGCACUGAGACACGGGCCCGACUCCUACGGGAGGCAGCAGUAAGGAAUAUUGGUCAAUGGACGCAAGUCUGAACCAGCCAUGCCGCGUGAAGGAUUAAGGUCCUCUGGAUUGUAAACUUCUUUUAUCUGGGACGAAAAAAGGCUAUUCUUAGUCACUUGACGGUACCAGAUGAAUAAGCACCGGCUAACUCCGUGCCAGCAGCCGCGGUAAUACGGAGGGUGCAAGCAUUAUCCGGAGUGACUGGGCGUAAAGAGUUGCGUAGGUGGACAAGUAAGCGAAUAGUGAAAUGUGGCGGCUCAACCGUACACACUAUUAUUCGAACUGCUUGUCUCGAGAAUGGUAGAGGUAACUGGAAUUUCUAGUGUAGGAGUGAAAUCCGUAGAUAUUAGAAGGAACACCAAUGGCGUAGGCAGGUUACUGGACCAUUUCUGACACUGAGGCACGAAAGCGUGGGGAGCGAACCGGAUUAGAUACCCCGGUAGUCC
rnacentral:rRNA from 1 species